rnacentral:rRNA from 1 species
UACGUAGGGGGCUAGCGUUGUCCGGAAUCAUUGGGCGUAAAGAGCGUGUAGGCGGUCCGGUAAGUCCGCUGUGAAAGUCGGGGGCUCAACCCUCGAAUGCCGGUGGAUACUGUCGGGCUCGAGUGCGGAAGAGGCGAGUGGAAUUCCUGGUGUAGCGGUGAAAUGCGCAGAUAUCAGGAGGAACACCGGUGGCGAAGGCGGGUCUCUGGGCCGAUACUGACGCUGAGGAGCGAAAGCGUGGGGAGCGAACAGG